UUGCUGUUUGUAGUAGCCGCGAAUGGCUGCCCUGCCACACCACGCUGCCUUAGAGCCAACUGAGUAUAGAUUGAAACCUCCAAAAGGGUGUCAUAUAUAAUCUCUGAAUCACCACUUACCAAAUGUUUUUAAGCAAUAUGAUUAUACCAUCAUAAAACAUGAUGUCAACCAGAAACUGAUCAAUGGACUACAAUGGAAGAACAGUCUAUGCUGUUUUAUGGAAAUGUUGAAAGUGGACUCAUCAUUCAAAAUGAGACAUGUGCCAAAUGAAUGAAAGAACCAGUUGCGGAGAAGAAACAGUAGAGUCUGGGCAGGUUGCCCAAAGGGACACUUGGAUUAACCUUCACAUUGGAAUUGAAAAUGUGAAUAAUUUUGUCUUCAUUUUUUCCAGAUUCCAAAGUGAACACAGUCUUUGCACUGUGAUACUUGUUUAUUUCUUUUAACUAAAGCAAAGAGAAGGAAAGAGGAAAUGAGAAAUUGAGAAAGCCUAAAGGUUGAGUCCAAGGGCUGCUACUUACUUGUUUUAUAGCUUCAUGAAUAUAUUGAAAACAAUUUAAUUUUGUUUUCUGAUCUAUGAAUUAGAUAUUAGAAUAAUAAUUGCAUGACAUAGUAUUACUAGGAUUAAAUAAGAAAUCUACAUGUAAAUAUUAUAUACCUAUAUAUAGGUAUUCUUUAAAAAAUUACUUAUGUCAUUGUUAUUCAGAUAUAUUAAGCACAUACUGUAUUGAAUUUCAUUGUAUGUGCUGAGUGACCACUACACAAAAUCAAAAGAUUAAAUUUGAACUUUGGAUUUAUAAAGCUUCUUUUGUAUUUUAAGUAAUACCGACGUACAAGUAUUAUUAUGCCAUAGUACAAAAUUAAUAUCACACUGGAUUUUAAAAAUUGCAAGUAUGGUUAAAUUUAUCAUAUGUUGUAAACCUUUAGAAGCUUAGAAAAGAAAAUAAGAUCAAAGGACUUAGUGCAGUUUACUUAAGAGAAUAGCUUUUCUUAAAUCAUUAAGAUGAUGGUGUAUUCCAUUUGCCCCUUCAAGCCUACUUCAAUUGUCUGUAUUAGCUACUUGCCUCUGAUGACUUUGGCUUGAUACAGUCGAUGAGCAAAUAGGAUUAUCAACAGGAUAUCAAACAAAUAAAAAAGGAGGAGAAAUUCUAUUUCUGGUCAAGGUAAAAUAACAAAUCAUUGUCUUCCCUGAACAAAAUUUAGAAACUUAUUCAUAUAUAUAUGAAUAUAUAAAUAUAAUAUAUUCAUAUAUAUAUGAACUGAAGCUCUGGAUAUCAUCAACUAAGUAUAGAUCAGUAAAUCUAUACUAAGAAAACUAUUCCAGCUCUGGAGGAAAAACAAUGGAAAUUAGCAAACAAAA